GGCUGACUGAGCCAAGUAGUUGAGGAAGAGGAAGGAAACCACUUGGAUGACUUUUCCUGGAGGGAGAAGGACUUCUCUGAUCUAAUUGGGAAAAUGUUACUUGCAAUCAUGGACAACUGCAGGAAGCACUUCUAAACUGGAGGACAGGAGAGGAACCAGCAUCUUGCCUGGAUAUUAAUAGCAGUUAAUGGCUGUGUCUUGUCUGAAAGAGGGCGGAUCACCAAAAUGUGAUGAGCAGGACAGCAGUUUCUCAUCCUUCCAUACCAGAAGACAACACCAGGCACGGCAGAAACCCUGGUGUGAGUCAUGUCCAUUUAAAUAUGGAAGCACAUCAUAAAACCUAAUGGAGAGUCCAAGAGGUUUUCUCAGGCUGGGAUGAUUGGAGCCCACACACUCACCUCUGAGAAGGAAGAGGGAGGGGAUGGUCCCCCCUUGGGACUCACUCUGUCUCUGGGCCCAGUCCCAGCGUUGUAUGGCCACAGGACUCAACACGGGACAAACCUGUGAGCCGGAUCAGGGACCAGCAUUUGGUCCCUGUGGUGGUGUGCAACCCCCAGGUCAGCACAUCCCACUCCUGACACCAAGCUGAGGUCUGAUAAGCAGAGCCUCGGCACCUCCCCAUGCCCCAGGAUCCUGGGGAUGCUCUUCACUCCUCCUGCUCCCUUCCUGCAAACCCAGGGGAAAACGAUGCCCUCCUCUCGUGCCAGUCCAGCUCUGGUUCUGCUGCACACGUAUUUCACCAUCAUCCGCCAGUUUGCUCUCAAGGAGAGUUGAACUGGUUUUCUGCGCUCUGGCUAAUCUGUGGUUUCUCCUCUGCUGAAGACAUUUCCCAGCACUGGAGAGAAGGUGUGAUUUUAGUUAACGUCGCUCUGUCCUGUCUCUCAUUGCUUUCUGCCAAGAAACUGUCAGUGUCAGCCAAGCUUCCCGUCUGCUUGUUCUUUGCCAUACCAUGAAGUCUGGGCUCAGUUUGUAGCUCCUAUAACUGCAGGAAAACAAAUCCAUCCUGCCCUUGCAGCCCAGGGCUGUGCCUGAACUUUCCUUGUUCUGAGUUUGCUCUUCCAUGAUUCCUUCCCUGCAAACUUUGCCUCAGAUUGCUGCCAAAAGGCAGAGAAAAUGGGACCUCGUACCGAUAAACAAUCCAGGUUGAUGUCUUCUUUGAACAGUCAAAAAUGGCCCCUGUCCAGGCUGGCUCACAGCCUUUCUCCCUGCCGAAGCUCAGAGAAGUGGGUAAGACUGAGCUGAGCAGCGCUGAGAUCCCAACUCCUACACGAGGACAGCAGGUAGCAGGUCUGACACCAAACCCCCACGGCUGUAGUAUCUCAGCAGAGCAUGACGAUGGGAUUCAGCUUGUUUCCUCAGCGCCGUUCCUCUGUCACUGUCUCCUCUGCUCUUUUAUCAUUUUCAGGUACAAGGUCUGCUGCUCCUUCUGAAGGUUUUCAUUCAGGUCUGGCAGAGACGCUGCCAUAUGUUUUUCAUUUUGAUAACUCCCCUAUGGUGUCUGUUAUCACCCAAGUCUCUAUUAAGAUUUAUUCCUGUUAUUGUAGCAGUCAUUUUCCCCAGUACAUGUGCAUUGUAUUUGGAGAGAGUCAUAACCACUCUCCACAUCCAACAGAUGCUGUAGUCAGAGCGACUCCUGCUUCCACUUACCAGACCUUUCUACUAAUAUGGGAUUUCACCAAUAACCACAAGUGCUGUUCGCUCCCCAAGAUUUCCACACUGUCAUUUCUUGACUGUGUUAGUGGCAAAGCGCUGAUCAGAGCCCCAGCUCCAUGCAAAACAAAGCUGCAGAAAGGUUUUACUUGGCUUUGCUUGUAGCCACUUCUACAUUCAAAGUGGUGAGAGGCUCUCAUUCCUGAUGACUGCAGGGCUGAGCAUGAAUGGGGCCUCGGAGUGGGCAACAGAGAGUUGGAGAGAGGCGAGCGGCCAGUUUCCCUCACUCAGGGAACAAGCUGGGGUAGGAAAUGGGAUCUGCUGGACCUGAUGUAUGGAUUUAAGAAGAGGCCACGGUCCAUCACCCAGGGCUGCAUGCGGGCAGCUUGGCAGCGGGUUGGUGCUGCACUGUGCCUUCCAGCCUCACCCUCUCCAUUUGCCCAGCACUACAGAGCACAGCCCUUCCUUCCCUUCCAAGGAGCUGCCUUGGUGGGCAAGCAAACCAAGGGACAGACAUCCCGAGGACAAACCAGCACAGCCUUUCCCCUCUGAGACACUGCCUCAGCCUGCCCAGUCCUUUCUACUAGUGCCCACAGCCCGCACUAGUUUGCCUCAAAGUUACUGAGUGAAAUGAGUUGUAGGGCAGGACAGUGCUGUAACUGCACAGGAAUGGAAACCUGGGUCUGGAAGAUUUUGACUCCAUCCCAGUUUCAAAGCACCUGGGCUCCAGCCAGCAGCACCAACAACAGAGCAGGGCUUUUGUCCAUCCCACCGCAGCUCUGCCUCUUGGCAGGUGAGCAUGGAUAAAAUCCUCGCUCCCUGGGGCCAGCAGCAAUCCAGCUUCACGGCUCUCCGCUCUGCUCCCCACCACAGGCAGCAGCACAAUGUGGGUUCCUGAGUGAGGCCGCCUCACCCACAGCAUCCACAAACCCCUCCAAUUUGCCCCUCUUUCAUCCCGUAGCACUUUGGUCAGCUCGUACGGAAGAAAGGAGCUCCAAAUGCUUUCCGGGCCUAAUAAUAUCCAUCAAAGCAUUUCCAGAGCUGAGGCGAGGAUACACACUGCAGCACGCAGAGCAGGAAAUGGGCUUGGGUUUUCCAAAGCUGCCUCUUCCAGCCAGAGCAAACCACAAGAUCACGGGAGGACAAGAGCGCUGUGCUCGUGGCUUUGUUUGCCCCAGAAGGAAUUGAUUUGAUGAGAAAGGAAAUUGGCUUUCUUUAAUCUGUCCUUGUGCAAAUUCCGCAGAGGAAGGCGUGAGCCGAGUCGUGCUGGCGAGGAACAAAGAUCAGCCGCCGCAUCGGCAGCUCCUGAAACUGAGCCAUCCCUGAGUGCCACUCGGUUUGUGCUGUUUGUGGAGAUGGUGGCAUUUCCCAGGCCGUGGCUCUGAGUGCCCACAGACCUCAACAGGAUGUGUGGCAGAGAUGGAGAGCCCUCAGCACAGAGCCAGCACCGCAGCGUCCUGCAGCUUCCCAUGCACGGUGCCUUCCUCAGAUGACGAGGUCUCAUCGCUGCCUGCACCAGGGUCAGGUUUUCUCCUGUUUCUUCUGUCACUUCUGGGAAUUCUGACUGCGCCUUCAUGUCCAUCACCUGUCUCUGAGCCCAGCAGGACAGACACACAGCCACUUUGUCAAGAGCAGGUUGGAUCUCACUUCCUUUUCCAUUGGAAGUAUUCUUUGGGAAAAUCAGAAAAGAACACCAAAUAACCCAUGGGAAUAUCAAUUCCCUCCUGGUUGCAGGCUGGCAUUUCCACUGCAAAUGGAAAAUGAACUUACAGAGUAGGAGGGAGUCAACAAGAUGUUGCCAGAGAAGAGCUAGAAAUGGUGUGGGGUUAUUUUAUACAAAAAAACUAAAAAUACAGUAAAUGAAUAAUACAGAAGGCUAAGCCCAAAUCAUCCUGGAUCCUUUUCAAUGCCAAACAGCUUUGCAACUAGCAAAAGGCUUUAAUUUAGUGUUGAGUGACCCUGGGCUCCUCAUAUUGAGCUUGUGUGAGCCACAAGCUCACAGAGGAAAGAGUUGGGGUGCUGGGCUUUGUGCAGCUCUGCUGUGUUUGCCAGUGGUUGGGUAAUUUGGUAACAUAGCAGUGCCCUAAGCAGGGCUCACACAGUGACUGCAAGGCCCAUUCCACAGGAUACUGCAGGAUGCCGGGUCUUCGCCCAGGACACUUCCAGCAGGAGCACAUGCAGGGUGCAAGGCACGUGGGAGGGCAGCCUGGCAGUCCUGCCUACUUCAGCAGCCCUACAGCAAAUCCUCACAUCCCUGGGGAGAGGGCAGUGCUGUCAGGAAUGCCGCUGUGUGCCGGCAAGAGGGCAAAAGUUCCCCCCUCGCCUGCCUCCCCACUGCAGGACCCCUCAGAACACUCUGAAAAUGGGUGAGGAGUCCCGCAGGAGUCAAGGAAAGAACAAACAGAGCAGAGAGCAACCCGCAGGCCAUAAAAUCCCAAGGAUGGGUGUGAGCACAGGUGAGUAAAAGGAGAAGGAAGGAGAAGGAGAAAAGGAGAAUAGAAAGAGCGAGGCGGCAGAACCCACGCUGCAUUUUUGAAGUCAGAUACAGACUGUAGGAAGCAUCUCAGGUUCAUUUUAGGGUCUGGUCUGUGCUCCCAGAGACUGCACUGCCAUAUGCUGCCCUCAGUGACAGUGCAGAGCCUGGGUACCUCUCAGCUGGCCGCCUUCCAGAGGUUUCCUCUCCAGCAUUGACGCAAGAAGAGAAAUCUUUGGGUUGGAGUUAUUUGGUUAUUGUGCUCAAAUGGAUUUGAAGAAGCAGCUGAGGUCAGCUGAAGAUCCAUUCCUUAUGAUGCUUGGGUCAAGUUCACAAUGUGUCCAGUUAAAUGCCAAUCUACAUGGGGAAAGGGUUUGUCCUAGCAGGAGCCCUGCAGGCUGUGCAGCCUCCCGUCAGGACGCUGAGCCCUGUGAUUAUUGCUUGUGUUAAUUCGUUUGUGCUAACAUACUGUGUUGUGGCAGUGAUUAAUAUGCAGCAUCAUCUGCCACUCCAAAUCCUCAUGAAAACAGAUAAGCGAACAAGCAAUGGUGAUCUGCUCUCUGCUGUGACAGGGAACGAGGUGGGACAGCGAGGAAUGACAGGGUAUUGCUGUCCUAACAGAAGAGGGGAAAGCCCUUUCAAGGAAGGGCUUCCAGCAGCUGCAGGCAGGGAGCUCUGGGGAUGCCACUUCUCCGGAUGGCGGCUGAGCUCCAUGGCACCUCUCCACACGAGGACUUGUGGAACUGCUGCCCCGGUUGGGCUGCCGCAAUCAGGGCCCUACUGCUGGGAGGCAAAGCACCGCACAACCCGUUGCCCGCAUCCAUACACGGGCUGGGCUGGUUUCAGCCAAAACAAAUGUCUGCACAGGAUGCUGCUGCGGGGCCAAGUGAAUAUAAAUCUUCAGUGCAACCACAACUGAGUCAUUGAGAAAUGCCGCCCUUUCCCUUUCGUGAGCUCACUGCAAGUGGACACCGUGUGCACUGCUCACCCCACAGGCAGGACGCAGUGAGGAGCGCUGCGCUCACACUUUUCCUUUGGCUGCAGCUCAGCAGUGCCGUCCUGCCCUGCAGAGCAGGAGUGGCUCCUACCGCUCUGCCCCACAUUUGCACUGCAGUAAGGAAAUAUGCUUCAGUGGAGCCAUUUUUGGCACCUCGGUACUGGUGGGGGGAUCCUUCCUUCAAACUAAAAGCAUCUCCAUUUCCCUGCAUGCUUGUGGUGCAGGCAGCCGGCAGACGCUUUGCUCUGCUCUCCAGGCUGGGCACAAGCAGGGAAAGUGCCAGGCUGCAAAGGCUGGGUGCAAAUGCACCCACACAUGGAGCAAGGCAAGCAGCACCUCCAUAAAGAGCUGUUCGACAGCAUUAAAGAGCAGCACCCAGAGGAGCUGGGGGGAGCGGGGCAGGAGCUGGGGAAGCCGCACAGCCUGCAUCCAUGCAGCAUCCGGCAGUGCAGACUUUUUGUUUUAUUUUCUUUACGAGCUUCUAAUCUCCACCAGGAUACGUUUAUAUUUCUGUAGAUCUGUGAGCUGCCUGGGCAGCAGGAGCAUGCAGGGCUACUGAUAGGGCUUUAGCAAGAAAGGGGCUCCUGGGGAUCCAUAGUGAGUGCCGGGCUGAGCUGUCCUCCUGCCAACUAACGCUGUCCCUGCAAACCUCCCGGGUCCCUCCCCACAACCUGUCUCGUUUCACACAUUUUUCUUCCCCUCGCAGGACCACUUUGUCCUCGGGGAAUCUGUCAUUGUGCCCCUCGCUGCCGAGUGAUGGGUCCCCUCCCCAGAGGCUCAUCACCAGGCACAAGGACAGAGCCGGAGUCCCUUCGGUUGUCCCUGGUCCCGGAGGCGGUCGGUGCUCAGCUCCUGCAAAGCGGAGCGCGGGGAGAACGAGGGGGGCAUGGAGCGACUGCUUUAGGGCAGCUCCUGCUGCACCCCCCGCCCGGCGAGCUGCGGCGGCUCCUGCGCUGCCCAGGCGAGGACGCGAAGUGCCAGAGCCCCGCGCUGGGGCCAGGCAGGAGGUCUGCAACGGCACGGCCCCAACGCGAGCAGCGCAUGGCAGCACGAGCUGCCGUUAAAUGGGGGAAGAAGGGGGAUUUAAAACAAGGAAAAAAGAGGAAGAAAGGGAGAAAGAAGGGAAGAAGUCCUGUUGGCUUCGUGCUGGAGGUGGGCGGCUGAUAGUUUUAUUCCUGAGAAUUUCCCCGUGCGUGAUCUCUGUAUUGGGAUUUGCAGGCAAGUGACCGCAUAAAGCCAGCCGCAAAUCCCCGUAACGUAUAACGCGGAGCCGAGGCUGGCAAAGGAAGCCAAAGCCCAAAGCGGAGCCCCACGCGAGGCCGCGGGGUUGGGCAGAGUGGGGCCGUGAGCCGCGGUUUUCCCAGUCACGUCCCUGCCCAGCAGCGAGAAUACGACGGCUGUGCAUGAGGCUUGUGCUGGUUGUAACAAUAAUUAUUUGUUCUCCAAUUCCUUCUUCCUCAGGGUUUUUCUCUCUCUUUUCUUUUCCUUUCG